rnacentral:rRNA from 1 species
GAUGAACGCUGGCGGCGUGCCUAAUACAUGCAAGUCGAGCGAACGGACGAGAAGCUUGCUUCUCUGAUGUUAGCGGCGGACGGGUGAGUAACACGUGGAUAACCUACCUAUAAGACUGGGAUAACUUCGGGAAACCGUAGCUAAUACCGGAUAAUAUUUUGAACCGCAUGGUUCAAAAGUGAAAGACGGUCUUGCUGUCACUUAUAGAUGGAUCCGCGCUGCAUUAGCUAGUUGGUAAGGUAACGGCUUACCAAGGCAACGAUGCAUAGCCGACCUGAGAGGGUGAUCGGCCACACUGGAACUGAGACACGGUCCAGACUCCUACGGGAGGCAGCAGUAGGGAAUCUUCCGCAAUGGGCGAAAGCCUGACGGAGCAACGCCGCGUGAGUGGUGAAGGUCUUCGGAUCGUGAAACUCUGUUAUUAGGGAAGAACAUAUGUGUAAGUAACUGUGCACAUCUUGACGGUACCUAAUCAGAAAGCCACGGCUAACUACGUG